CAUUAUCAUUUGGCAUAUACUCAACAUAAAAAUUAUUAGUGAGCUAUAUUUACAUUCAUUUUUAAAAAUCAUACUAAGUCUAAAAUGGAUGUUUUUUUAUGCUCACGACACAUCUCAGUUUGCACUGGCCACAUUUCCAGUACUGCCACCACAUUGGGCAGUGCAGCUAUAGGAUUUCUUUGUUAGGACAGCUGAUGUCACCUGCAUUUUGUGGGGGAAUAACUGAGCUCACAGAGGGUGCGACUUGCUUGAGCUGCACAGCCAGCAAGGAGCGGGUGGGGCGAGAGCUCGGUCUUCUCUCCACUGAGGUGGCAGGAAACUUGCAUUUGCCUGGUGUCCACUGUGUCCCAGGCACUGGUAGACAUUCUGCCUUUGUCUUUCCAUCUGAUUCUCACAGCAGCCUUGCGUGGUGGCUAGGUAUCGUGCACAUUUUACAGAUGAUCAACAGAGGCUCAGAGAGGCCCGGCCAUUUACCCAAGGCCACACAGUCCAAGGGAGAGUUGGAAUUUGGACCAGCACUUGCUGAUUCCAGAGCCACCUGUUCUCUUUCCUCUGGACAGAGAAAGAGACUUUGCACACAGCAACUUAGGCUAAGUAUUCAAGGAAAGUGAACUCAGGAAUAGGUCUGGCUAUCGGCUGAGCAGAACCGUUGCAUGAAUCAAGUGGGGUGCCACGAUCAACUGUGCUGAAUACCCGGGCAAGUGUGACUUAAAUGUAGGACAGUCUUUUUAUCAUCAGCAAGCCGACGGUACCUCCCCACUCAUCACUCCAAGGCAGCCUGUUGCAUUUUCUUUCAUUCUGAUAAACUCCUUGAGUGGAGCAGA